CCGCAGCAGGAGAGAGGAGGAGGGGCCGCCGGUUGAAGCCGCCACCUGCCGCGGCGUGGACUGGCUCCAGUUGUCACUUACCCAGCGGGCUCAGC
rnacentral:lncRNA from 1 species